AUCACCAUUUGCCUCAGUUAACAGGGAAUGGAAAGCCUGAUGGAGGCCUGGAUAACCAUGCUAGGAGACACGUUGGUUAUUUUGGUCUUGCUAGCGACAUGGAGCAAGUUCCCCUCCGAGUUCCUCCACCGGGGAUGGACGCCUCUGUCGUUUGUAGUUAAUUCAGCUUUUCCCUUGGGGACACAAGACCAAUGAAAACGGCAUGGACAGCCUCCGAACGGACUCCAUCCAAUGCCCGCUGGUCUGAAUAGCAGAAGGAAUGGAAGCAAGUGUCAUAGCCUAGAAGAUUUUGUUUUAUUUCAACACGAUGUUAAAUUUAAUAAAGCUUUCUAAAUGACA